UACGUAGGUGGCGAGCGUUGUCCGGAUUUACUGGGCGUAAAGGGCUCGUAGGCGGCCAACUAAGUCGGAUGUGAAAUCCCCAGGCUCAACCUGGGAACUGCAUCCGAUACUGGAUGGCUUGAAUCCGGGAGAGGGAUGCAGAAUUCCAGGUGUAGCGGUGAAAUGCGUAGAUAUCUGGAGGAACACCGGUGGCGAAGGCGGCAUCCUGGACCGAAAUUGACGCUGAGGCGCGAAAGCCAGGGGAGCAAACGGG
rnacentral:rRNA from 1 species